rnacentral:lncRNA from 1 species
UGUAAUGUGAAUAGGGUGUUCUUGCAGCGGAGGUUGCUGCUGUUGAUAAUAUUGCUGCUGCUGAAGAACCUGUUGUUGGAGCUGUUGCGGUUGAAGAGGUUCCAGCAGACUAUGUUGGAGUUGCUGUUGGAGCUGUUGUGGUUGAAGAGGUUCCAGUGAACUAUGUUGGAGUUGUUGGAGCUGUUGCGGUUGAUGAGGUUCCAGCGGACUAUGUUGGAGUUGUAGUGACUGUUCCUGCUGGAAUGGUUGCUGCUGUAAUUGAAUAUAAUGUUGUAGUUGCUGUUGUUGCUGCUGUUGCUGGUAGUAAUAGUAUUGGCAUAACUGACUAUACUCUUGGGCAUUUUGCACAUAUCCAUAUUGGCCAUUGCCUUGCAUUGGAUGUUGUAAUACAACUGAUGUCAC